CCUACGGGAGGCAGCAGUGGGGAAUAUUGGUCAAUGGGCGCGAGCCUGAACCAGCCAAGUAGCGUGAAGGAUGACUGCCCUACGGGUUGUAAGCUUCUUUUAUAAAGGAGUAAAGUGAGGCACGUGUGCCUUUUUGUAUGUACUUUAUGAAUAAGGAUCGGCUAACUACGUGACAGCAGCCGCGGUAAUACGGAGGAUCCGAGCGUUAUCCGGAUUUAUUGGGGUUAAAGGGCGCGUAGAUGGGUUGUUAAGUCAGUUGUGAAAGUUUGCGGCUCAACCGUAAAAUUGCAAUUGAUACUGGCAGCCUUGAGUACAGUUGAGGUAGGCGGAAUUCGUGGUGUAGCGGUGAAAUGCUUAGAUAUCACGAAGAACUCCGAUUGCGAAGGCAGCUUACUAAACUGCCACUGACAUUGAUGCUCGAAAGUGUGGGUAUCAAACAGGAUUAGAUACCCGUGUAGUC
rnacentral:rRNA from 1 species